CCUACGGGAGGCAGCAGUGAGGAAUAUUGGUCAAUGGACGAGAGUCUGAACCAGCCAAGUCGCGUGAAGGAUGACGGCCCUAUGGGUUGUAAACUUCUUUUAUAUGGGAAUAAAAUGUUCCACGUGUGGGAUUUCGUAUGUACCAUAUGAAUAAGGAUCGGCUAACUCCGUGCCAGCAGCCGCGGUAAUACGGAGGAUCCGAGCGUUAUCCGGAUUUAUUGGGUUUAAAGGGAGCGUAGGUGGAAUGUUAAGUCAGUUGUGAAAGUUUGCGGCUCAACCGUAAAAUUGCAGUUGAAACUGGCAGUCUUGAGUACAGUAGAGGUGUGCGGAAUGCGUGGUGUAGCGGUGAAAUGCUUAGAUAUCACGAAGAACUCCGAUUGCGAAGGCAGCUCACUGGACUGCAACUGACGCUGAGGCUCGAAAGCGUGGGUAUCAAACAGGAUUAGAUACCCCUGUAGUC
rnacentral:rRNA from 1 species